rnacentral:lncRNA from 12 species
GUUCACAGCUGCAAUUGAUAUGUGUCAUAAGUAUUUUAUGACAUUUCAGUUCCCUUCCAUCUGUUAGGUUUUCUUUAUAAACUCUAUUUUGAAGAAACUAAGUCAUGUACCUUAUAAAGUCUUCCCUAGUCUGAAGCACAACCUUUUUUUAAAAAGUGGUAACCCGAAGAAGGAUCAAUGUCAGUGUCCUCUGUGGAACUCUAGGAGCUGGAUCUGCUUAUUCAAGUUCACAAACAGUAUAUAUUUAAGAACAAUGUUCAAAAAAAAAAAAAAAAAAGAACAAUGUUCAUUGUGAUUGAGCAAAUAUUUUUUGGAGCAUUCUUGCCAUCCUCUUAGUUUCUUCUGUUUUGCUUUAGUUUUGAGGUGUGUGGUGAAGAAGAUGUAUUUGCCUCUUUCCUCAAGAGAAGAAAGUAUCACGCUAAAUUCAGAUGAGGAAUUGUGGCGGACAUAAUGCUGUGUUUUCACCAAAGCCCAUUUCUGACCACAGAAACCUCUUGGUCUGGAAGGAAACCCACAAUGUCUCUAAGGUGUGCCUGUACAGCGUUUGCAGUCUAGGUGAGAAGAUUACAAAACCCCUAUUGAAGUCUAAGUACCAAUUUGCAGAAAAUACAGGACACAAAGGAAUUACACAGAGACAUGGCAAAAUGUGGACAAACAACCAGGUUCCUUCAACUAAUAAACUGCAAUGGGAUUUACAGUGGGUUUAGUCAGAAGCGCGUGUGACCUUUGAUCUCGGAGUUACAAGUUCGAGCCCCACAUCGGGGGUAGAGAUUCCUUAAAAAAUAAGAUCUUAAAAAAAUAAUAAACUACAAGGAAGACAGCA